ensembl:lncRNA
GCCUACGUAGCUGUCAGCAGAGUGACGUCUCUCAGUGGACUGUAUCUUCUUGAUAUGGAGGAGAAAAAAAUAUUCACCAACCCAGAAAUCACUGCAGCACUUGAGAACAUGAAACAAGCCAACCUUGAUGACAUGAUGCCUCUUCUACACGUGAGACAAACACUGAGCAGGUCAGAGGUUUUCACCACUGUUCAUCAUGACUGUAAGGAGUAAAUAUUUAAACAAGACAUUCUUCAGGCGAAAUAAAGACACUCAAGACAGUUUAGAUGGUAACAACGUGCGCACGCUGGGUGAGCGCUGCUGUCUCAGGCUCACAACCAGCGUAUGUGGCAGUUCUUUAUUUAUAGCGUUUCAGAGUAUGUGUGUGUGUGUGAAGUUUAUGAUCUCAGAGUGUGUGUGUGUGAUUCUGAAGAAUGGGCCCCUCUUUGUAUUUGGGAGUGUAGAUAAGAACAUCCUGCUCUCCCCUUCCUGGGAGUGAAACGGCUCGUAGAGAACCAGGUACAGAGGAGAUGUCCUGGGUAAAUCAUAUCUGAGAACACUAUGCUUUUGUCUUUACUUCAGCUUCACUUCUAGUGAAGCAGUAAAAUACGAUUAAAUACAAUUAAAUGGAAAGAAUAAAUGGGUAAACAACUAUUAACACUGAAAUUAAAGAUAAGCUUUCAAUAACGUACAAAUGCAAGUGGGAAUAAUACUUGAAACAUUUGAAAAUCUCUUAACAUAUCCCUCCUGUUGUUAAUUUGUUUUACACAUUUUAACUUUUAUCAGCAUACAGUCUCUUGACAGUGCAUUUUUAACUGUUGCUUCAUUAUUAACAGGAGUGUCUUUUUUCUUUUAGUUACAGGUUGUUUCUUCAUCUUCGUCGUCGGUGUUUGAGUCAGUGUCGGCGUGCUCCAGCAGUGUCAUAAUUUCUUUUUGGCCGACAGGGUCCGGUGUAAUAGCUGUGGCUAUCAGUCUGUUGAUCAUGGAUCUUAUGCAGGGAAUACAACAACAGCCACAUAGGGUCAAUAUGGCUGCAAAAACAGCUAUUGACACUAGGAUUGAUGACACUAGGCUGCGGUACUUUCCAAACACGUCCAUCCAGCUGUCCCACAUGGAAGUGUCCACUCCAGAAUGUUCUUUCAUUCUCUCAUUCAGGGUCUUCAGUCUUUCCAGGGCUCUGGUCAGACUGCCGUCAGCUGCAGUGUUGUUAGGUAUGAAGGUGCAGCAUUGUUCUCCACUUCUUUGUUUCUCGUUGCGCUGCGCGUUCUUCUGGGCAUAGGCUGCAGCUUAAAAUGGUUCCCCUUUCAGGACACGUCACAUUUGGAGCCUGCGGUGAAACCUCGGGCAGUGUGGGUCACAUGGGUUGCUGGUGCAGGCCGUGUUCAUGCCUACCAGGGCCAGUGAUAAGAAUACUGUGAACACGAGCAUGGAACACAUCGUUGUGACAGUGGUCAGUUGGCAUCCUCUUGUCCAGCAUCGGCGUCGUCUGUGCGGUUUCUCACCCUCAGGGGCAUCCUGGUUUGCAUUUAGUAUUUCCAUCUCCAUCAGGUCUCCUCUGUGAGCGUUUCUCCUCUUCUCGACCGUGGACACACCCUUGGCCUCCAAUGAGUAGACACCCAGCAAGAGGAGCGAGUGUCUCAGUGUUGCCACUGAUAGCCCUUCUCCCCACCGAGUGAACACCAGAGGUUAGAGCGGUCUGCAGUCUAGACUUUAUUGCUCACUUUUCUGCUCGGGAGUUUGUGGUUCUUGGAUUGGUUCAACCCUUUUUCAACCUGCAAGAAACUGGAAGAGAAUCACUCGGCAGUUGAUUGUUCAAAACUAUUUCUCUGUUUUCCAGCAACUUUGUCAUCCACUCUGCUAGAGUUGUUUCUCUUAUUGACUUGUUUGAAAUUUAAUGUAUAGAAGUGUCUUUAACUAGUGUUUUUAACUAAUUAGACUCCCUCCUGUUGACGCAUGAACAACUUCAUGUGUCACAAGAGCUACUGUUUUUGUAUAAAGACUUGGUUGUAACGGUUUCCCAUCACAUAUGAUCAGAUCAUCCUGUAGAAUUGCUCCGCACCUCAACCAUUUCUUUUCGCUCUAGUAAUGGCACAAAUGUGUGGUUCAUUUCUCAAGAUAUCCAGUGGAAUUUGCAUAGAGGUGUUGUCACCAUAAGUGCGUCUACUGUUUGUACUGCUACUGAUUUUGCUGCUUGGUCUGCAAAAUUGUCGCCCUCUGUUAUGCCAUAUUUCCAAAAUGGCGUACUGCAGAUCAAAUUCAUCAUUGAUAAGUCAAACCAACGAAAAAAACAAAACUAGAAGUCAAAAAAAAAAAAAAAAUAUUCUUUCGUUAACAGAAAUAAAAAUAAAAACAAAAGUAAAACUAUCUAAAACUGCAAUGAGUGGUCACAAAAUUAACUGAUUUUGUAGCAAAAAUGUGUUUAGUUUUAAAAUCUUAAGUCAAAACUAAAGAAAAAUAAAACUAAUGAAAAUUGCAAAACUAUUAAAACAGAGUAAACAUAUUGGCUGUCUCUGUGUCUCUCUGUCUGUCUGCGUCUUGACACAGUCAGCUCCUUUGUAUGGGCAUGUAGUUCCUGUUACACGUUUUCCUGUUACAGACACAUUUCCCGUUUCUCCAGAGUAAUCGAACUCUUUGUUGAAUUUAACUGUUUUCAUCUAGUCUGCACUUCCACCUAAAUGUAAGUAGAAAGGCUAUUUCCAAGUUACUGAAUGCUUCUUCUUCCUUUUUUUCUCUGUAGAUACAGCACUACAUAUUUUCUUAAGGCAUUUUGGACAAUUUCUAUUUCGUUUUAAAAUAAUUCAUAUAUCUCAUACAUGUUACAUAUGUCAAACUUCUAAGUUGGGAAAAACUUUGCAUUGCUUACAGCUCGUAGCUCACAGCUCUAAAACUAGGCAUCAGUAAAUCAUGUGCCUAAUCAUUUCGUGUCACUGUGAUCCUCAAGUAUGAUCACAGAUUUGUUUUUCAAACCAACAAAACAAACAAACAAAAACAAGUUGCUGAUGGCAUGAACGCUUUACACGAGUUGGGACACAAAA